AUUUCUAUAGAUGCAAUGCGCUUCAGUUGGAGGAGCCUGAUCUGAAAUGAGUCGCAGUCCACUUAAUGAGGCAGUUAAUGGAUGCUGCCUGACCUGCUGAGUUCCUCCAGAAUUUGCUUUGGAUUUCCAGACUUCCUUGUGUUUAUGCAGUUGCAGGGGAGGAUGUUUGAUAACAAAGAAAAAUAGGACAUGGCUGUCAUGAGGAGUAUGGAGAAGAAGUCUCUAAAGACAAAUGGACUGAUUGAAGAAUAGAUACCAAGAACCAGAGUCGAAUGCUGAAUAAUGGAGGAAUGCCAUUAUGGGAUGGAGCAACCUAAUUACCGAUCUCUGUAGAAAGUAUAAAAGUGAUUUGUUUGAGCUAUAAGAUUGAAGAUAUCUUCCGGACGAUAAUGUGUGGAGGUACACUUCCCUUGCAAGUAAAUAAUAAAAUGUGCCAUGAGU